GGCCACAAGCGGGGGUACCGUGCGCCAGAUCCACUGCGCGGUUGAGAAACACCCUUCGAACCUGACGCGGUUGAUACCGCCGUAGGGAGCUUUGCCGGACGCCUC
rnacentral:ncRNA from 2 species